rnacentral:rRNA from 1 species
AAGGAGGAGCUUGCUUCUCUGGAUGAGUUGCGAACGGGUGAGUAACGCGUAGGUAACCUGCCUGGUAGCGGGGGAUAACUAUUGGAAACGAUAGCUAAUACCGCAUAAUAGCAGUUGUUGCAUGACAGCUGUUUGAAAGGUGCAAUCGCACCACUACCAGAUGGACCUGCGUUGUAUUAGCUAGUUGGUGGGGUAACGGCUCACCAAGGCGACGAUACAUAGCCGACCUGAGAGGGUGAUCGGCCGCACUGGGACUGAGACACGGCCCAGACUCCUACGGGAGGCAGCAGUAGGGAAUCUUCGGCAAUGGACGGAAGUCUGACCGAGCAACGCCGCGUGAGUGAAGAAGGUUUUCGGAUCGUAAAGCUCUGUUGUAAGAGAAGAACGAGUGUGAGAGUGGAAAGUUCACACUGUGACGGUAUCUUACCAGAAAGGGACGGCUAACUACGUGCCAGCAGCCGCGGUAAUACGUAGGUCCCGAGCGUUGUCCGGAUUUAUUGGGCGUAAAGCGAGCGCAGGCGGUUAGAUAAGUCUGAAGUUAAAGGCUGUGGCUUAACCAUAGUACGCUUUGGAAACUGUUUAACUUGAGUGCAAGAGGGGAGAGUGGAAUUCCAUGUGUAGCGGUGAAAUGCGUAGAUAUAUGGAGGAACACCGGUGGCGAAAGCGGCUCUCUGGCUUGUAACUGACGCUG